rfam:Erinaceus europaeus unplaced genomic scaffold scaffold00146, whole genome shotgun sequence
GAAUAUGAGAGUGAUCUGGUUGCAACAUGUCACCUCAUUGAUUGCCAAGGUUGAUUCGGCUGAUCUGGCUGGCAAGGUGGGUGUCCCCUUCCUCCUUCACUGCUUCAUGUGCGUCCCACCUGAAUUUGCAUGCUGGGUGGAAGAGGUCAACCUUCCUUGAAUACAGAUAGACUGGUCUUCAGUUAAGGGUAAAUGAGUAGCUGCACUCCCCUGCUAGAAGCUCCAAACAAGCUCUCAGAUACUGAGAGGAUUCUGAAGAUGAUUAGAGAAAAGCAGAAUACCCAAAGGGAAAUCCCAUAAGACUAUCAGCUGGCAACAUAACUCAGGUGGGUGGUGUCCUUG